rnacentral:rRNA from 1 species
AUUGAACGCUGGCGGCAUGCCUUACACAUGCAAGUCGAACGGCAGCACGGGAGCAAUCCUGUGGCGAGUGGCGAACGGGUGAGUAAAGUAUCGGAACGUGCCCAGUCGUGGGGGAUAACGUAGCGAAAGUUACGCUAAUACCGCAUACGAUCUAUGGAUGAAAGCGGGGGAUCGCAAGACCGCGCGCGAUUCGAGCGGCUGAUAUCAGAUUAGGUAGCUGGUGGGGUAAAGGCUCACCAAGCCGACGAUCUGUAGCUGGUCUGAGAGGACGACCAGCCACAAUGGGACUGAGACACGGCCCAGACUCCUACGGGAGGCAGCAGUGGGGAAUUUUGGACAAUGGGCGAAAGCCUGAUCCAGCCAUGCCGCGUGCAGGAUGAAGGCCUUCGGGUUGUAAACUGCUUUUGUACGGAACGAAAAGGUUUGGCCUAAUAAGCUGAGCUCAUGACGGUACCGUAAGAAUAAGCACCGGCUAACUACGUGCCAGCAGCCGCCGUAA